rnacentral:rRNA from 1 species
UCCCCGUCAAUUCAUUUGAGUUUUAAUCUUGCGACCGUACUCCCCAGGCGGAGUGCUUAAAGCGUUAGCUGCGACACCGGAGGGUGAACCCCCCGACGUCUAGCACUCAUCGUUUACGGCGUGGACUACCAGGGUAUCUAAUCCUGUUUGCUCCCCACGCUUUCGCGCCUCAGCGUCAGUACCGGUCCAGAUGGCCGCCUUCGCCACCGGUGUUCUUCCCAAUAUCUACGAAUUUCACCUCUACACUGGGAAUUCCGCCAUCCUCUCCCGGACUCUAGCGAAACAGUAUCAAGUGCAAUUCCCGGGUUGAGCCCGGGGCUUUCACACCUGACUUGUCAAGCCGCCUACGCGCCCUUUACGCCCAGUGAUUCCGAACAACGCUAGCCCCCUUCGUAUUACCGCGGCUGCUGGCACGAAGUUAGCCGGGGCUUCUUCUGCGGGUACCGUCACCAUCUUCCCCGCCGAAAGAGCUUUACAACCCUAAGGCCUUCUUCACUCACGCGGCAUUGCUGGAUCAGGGUUUCCCCCAUUGUCCAAUAUUCCCCACUGCUGCCUCCCGUAGGAGUCUGGGCCGUAUCUCAGUCCCAGUGUGGCUGAUCAUCCUCUCAGACCAGCUACGGAUCGUCGCCUUGGUAGGCCAUUACCCUACCAACUAGCUAAUCCGACGCGGGCCCCUCCAAUGGCGAUAAAUCUUUCCCCCGUAGGGCUCAUAGGGUAUUAGCUGCAGUUUCCCGCAGUUAUUCCCUACCACUGGGCAGGUUCCCACGCGUUACUCACCCGUCCGCCACUCGUGUAUUGCUACACGCGUUCGACUUGCAUGUGUUAGGCAUGCCGCCAGCGUUCGUUCUGAGCCAGAAUCAAACUCU